UGCUAAUUMAUGCUCUCAACACAUCCAGCUGAUUGCAGUCUCUUUUUGUACAGGAUGGGGCUAUGCAGGUGUGUUGGCUUCUCGGGAAACACUCUCAUUGGCAGAAGAUGGGCCAAAAUCCCCAGCUCCUGCUCUCACCAUUAAUCUUCAAUGACCUCCGUUCGUCUUGAUGACACAUCUUGCAUGACUCCGGCUCGCUAYGCCCACUGAGGCUCCUUUCAGCUCCCAACGUGCUUCCCGGUUGCCUAGCAAUCCUAACAAUAUUUUAUGAGGUCUUGUUCCAGRCGUACCGUUUGCUAAUACUGAAUUUGAGCUCGAAGCUCCAGGAGAAGCAUGGAGGAGGCCCGAGGGUGGGCAGUUUUUCUGAGCAAACUCGUCCUCUCCUGGCUGUAAAGCAAGCGCAUUAGCAAGCGGGAGCUGGCUCGCAAGUGUGUCCUGCAAAUCUACCGUAUCCCUACGGCCACGGUCGCUCCUGCCGGAUGCCGGGAGUAYGUCUAACCCUGAGAUCCUGGAGUUUGCCAUCAGUGCCAGGUUGAGGUUGCCGGGUCGGACGCUCACGACCGAAAGGUGCUGCGGAAGGAGGGCUGUCACGCACUGCUCCUGCCGCGGUCCGCGGUCCCGGUUCCAGGUUAACCCGACCUUCCACGUGCAGUUCUCACCCGUAAAAACACGGGAGGGAAGCAGGCAUCAGGUGCUACCCCGUGGUCUGGGCAGCGUGUUACRGUCCCUCUGCAGAGGUGCGAAUGAUGGUACGAGGUUUGGGACGGUGAACAUUCAGGCCCUGUGUUUUCUGCUUAAAUGCUCUGCAAUAACACAGGGCAGAUUCUGUAGUGUUACUGGAUUCUCUCAUUCCUCGGGCAUGUUGUAAAGCAGGAUAUUUCAGAUCAGCUGCUUCCAACCAUCCGACAAGACGUGUGGCUUGUUCUCAGCAGCAGACGGGCAAUACAUGCUACGGUUGCUCGUCAAAGUCCCCAAACAUAUUUCUUUUGGAUUGAAAUUCUUCAUGUUUAAUAUAAGAUCCUGUACUUAUUGAUUCAGUUGUUUUUAGGUGUUGGAAAGUAUAUAUAUWUUUUUUCUCUCUGUUCGCACUGAUGGAAAGUCAGAAAAUGAGAUCAUUCAAAAAUGACUAAAAGCAAAUAGGCCAGACCUGGCUUGUUAUACAUAUUUCACCAAGGCCCAAGUUUCAAGCCAAACUGAAAGAAAGUUAGCUGRGCAGGUUUAAAGCUGGCAGUGCACAUGACAGUGUAAAUGUUAUGAAUUAUUUUAACGGCAAGCCGCGAAAUGGUAUUGCUUUUGUAAAAUUAUCUUGACAACAAAUGGUCUCGUUCAAGGCUUUCCAAAACGGGCCAGCAUACAUCAGGCAGUCCCUGGCACGGCUGCUAGGAAARAGACAGAAUAUCUGCAUCGGCAAUGAGCAGAUCAUAUAAUAUCUUAGGAACGGCAAAGUCUGGGCAUCAGAUGUUCGUAGGUCUUUAUUGUGUUUCCAAGAACUUACUGUGAAAAUACAUUCUUGAUAAGUGUGAUCUGGAAAAAAGAAACAAAAAUCCCUCUGUGAAACCUAAAUAAACUGUGAUGG
rnacentral:lncRNA from 1 species